UAAAUUAUCCAAACAAAUCCCACAAUUCGAGCCCAAUUCUUCUGCCCUAGACAGGAGAGUAGCGGCGAUGGCGGGCGAGGAAGGAAGCGGCGGCGGCGGCGGGGAGUCGAGUGAUGCGACGGCCGGAUGGCAAGGAAGAGUAGUGGGCGAAUGGAACAGGAUCAAGGAACACGCGGAGACUUACCCCUACUUGUGGGGUUCCUACAUCUUGGUCUAUGGCGUUCUUGGAUCCUACCUCGCCUACCGGUGGAGGAAGCUCCGGAGGACGGAGGACCGCGUCCGCGUCCUCCAGGCGAGGCUCCGUAAGCUGGUCGAGGCCGAGGAGGCGUCCUCCGGAGGUUCCGUCACUUCGUCCGCGGCGCCCAAACCGACACCGUCGGACAAGUCGAGUGGGCCUCCCUAGGAGUUCUUCCUGCCGGUAGAACCGGCCAUAUGAAUUGAGUUGAUUUAGGAUGAACUUCAACUCGAAGGCACUUUGAUCCAGUAGGUGUAGUUGAGCUGUAGUUUCUACUACUGAAGCAGAGUUUGGAAGAUUUUAAUAUCGGUAAACCAUAACAACUUAACCACGAGCUCACUCUCAUAGUAUGAAGUCUUCUACAACGAUGCGGACUUGUCUCAUACCGUUCUUACCUUGCCCUCGAGAAGAAGGUGAGCUCUACUUAUCUCAUGCCAUUCUUACAUAAAUCUUGGAGCACUUGUCUCAUACGGUCCUUAUUUGAGCCUCGAGGUAUCAACAAUGCGCCUAAGAUCCAAGCAACUAUAACAACCUUGAUUAAGGUAGACGAUACCGUUCUUACCUAGCCCUUGGAGCACUGAAGUUGUGAUAGUGUUAACAAUCAUCGUCGAUAAAAGAGUAGGAUGAGCUCUAUUUAUCUCAUGCCAUUCUUGCUUAAGGCUUAGAUUAUGUCUCAUACCAUCCUUAUCUGAGCCUCAAGGCACCCGAAUCCUCGUCAAGAAAAGUGUUAAAGAAGAUGAUAGGCUCCACUUGUCUUGUAGCAUCCUUUAUCUAAGCCUCUGAGGCAAAGGAGUUGCAAUCUUACAUAUUGCUAGGCGCUAAAAGUGGUGAAGGAAAGGAUGAGUUCAUUGGGAAAUUGAGAAGCGCUAUAUCAUUUCCCUGGGAGCUGAUGGCUGAUGGUCGCCCUCUCUUAUAUCAUAAAGUUGAGCUAAUCGAUAUGAAUGAUAACACUGAUUUGAUAUAAUCUGACCAGAGUUGUUUGUUUCAUAUGAAGUAUUUUUUUUUAUAUUCUUAU